AACGAACGCUGGCGGCAGGCCUAACACAGGCAAGUCGAGCGCCCCGCAAGGGGAGCGGCGGACGGGUGAGUAACGCGUGGGAACGUACCCUUUGCUACGGAAUAGCCUCGGGAAACUGGGAGUAAUACCGUAUGUGUCCUUCGGGAGAAAGAUUUAUCGGCAAGGGAUCGGCCCGCGUUGGAUUAGGUAGUUGGUGGGGUAAUGGCCUACCAAGCCGACGAUCCAUAGCUGGUUUGAGAGGAUGAUCAGCCACACUGGGACUGAGACACGGCCCAGACUCCUACGGGAAGCAGCAGUGGGGAAUCUUAGACAAUGGGCGCAAGCCUGAUCUAGCCAUGCCGCGUGAGCGAUGAAGGCCUUAGGGUUGUAAAGCUCUUUCAGGGGGGAAGAUAAUGACUGUACCCCCAGAAGAAGCCCCGGCUAACUCCGUG
rnacentral:rRNA from 1 species